UAGCGGCGAGCGAACGGGGAGCAGCCCAGAGCCUGAAUCAGUGUGUGUGUUAGUGGAAGCGUCUGGAAAGGCGCGCGAUACAGGGUGACAGCCCCGUACACAAAAAUGCACAUACUGUGAGCUCGAUGAGUAGGGCGGGACACGUGGUAUCCUGUCUGAAUAUGGGGGGACCAUCCUCCAAGGCUAAAUACUCCUGACUGACCGAUAGUGAACCAGUACCGUGAGGGAAAGGCGAAAAGAACCCCGGCGAGGGGAGUGAAAAAGAACCUGAAACCGUGUACGUACAAGCAGUGGGAGCACGCUUAGGCGUGUGACUGCGUACCUUUUGUAUAAUGGGUCAGCGACUUAUAUUCUGUAGCAAGGUUAACCGAAUAGGGGAGCCGAAGGGAAACCGAGUCUUAACUGGGCGUUAAGUUGCAGGGUAUAGACCCGAAACCCGGUGAUCUAGCCAUGGGCAGGUUGAAGGUUGGGUAACACUAACUGGAGGACCGAACCGACUAAUGUUGAAAAAUUAGCGGAUGACUUGUGGCUGGGGGUGAAAGGCCAAUCAAACCGGGAGAUAGCUGGUUCUCCCCGAAAGCUAUUUAGGUAGCGCCUCGUGAAUUCAUCUCCGGGGGUAGAGCACUGUUUCGGCAAGGGGGUCAUCCCGACUUACCAACCCGAUGCAAACUGCGAAUACCGGAGAAUGUUAUCACGGGAGACACACGGCGGGUGCUAACGUCCGUCGUGAAGAGGGAAACAACCCAGACCGCCAGCUAAGGUCCCAAAGUCAUGGUUAAGUGGGAAACGAUGUGGGAAGGCCCAGACAGCCAGGAUGUUGGCUUAGAAGCAGCCAUCAUUUAAAGAAAGCGUAAUAGCUCACUGGUCGAGUCGGCCUGCGCGGAAGAUGUAACGGGGCUAAACCAUGCACCGAAGCUGCGGCAGCGACGCUGAUGCGUUGUUGGGUAGGGGAGCGUUCUGUAAGCCUGUGAAGGUGUGCUGUGAGGCAUGCUGGAGGUAUCAGAAGUGCGAAUGCUGACAUAAGUAACGAUAAAGCGGGUGAAAAGCCCGCUCGCCGGAAGACCAAGGGUUCCUGUCCAACGUUAAUCGGGGCAGGGUGAGUCGACCCCUAAGGCGAGGCCGAAAGGCGUAGUCGAUGGGAAACAGGUUAAUAUUCCUGUACUUGGUGUUACUGCGAAGGGGGGACGGAGAAGGCUAUGUUGGCCGGGCGACGGUUGUCCCGGUUUAAGCGUGUAGGCUGGUUUUCCAGGCAAAUCCGGAAAAUCAAGGCUGAGGCGUGAUGACGAGGCACUACGGUGCUGAAGCAACAAAUGCCCUGCUUCCAGGAAAAGCCUCUAAGCAUCAGGUAACAUCAAAUCGUACCCCAAACCGACACAGGUGGUCAGGUAGAGAAUACCAAGGCGCUUGAGAGAACUCGGGUGAAGGAACUAGGCAAAAUGGUGCCGUAACUUCGGGAGAAGG
rnacentral:rRNA from 1 species